UGGCUGGGUGUCAKACAACG
rnacentral:rRNA from 1 species